rnacentral:rRNA from 1 species
AGAGUUUGAUCCUGGCUCAGAUUGAACGCUGGCGGCAUGCCUUACACAUGCAAGUCGAACGGCAGCACGGGAGCAAUCCUGGUGGCGAGUGGCGAACGGGUGAGUAAUAUAUCGGAACGUGCCCAGUCGUGGGGGAUAACGCAGCGAAAGCUGUGCUAAUACCGCAUACGAUCUCUGGAUGAAAGCGGGGGACUCAGCAAUGGGCCUCGCGCGAUUGGAGCGGCCGAUAUCAGAUUAGCUAGUUGGUGGGGUAAAAGCCCACCAAGGCGACGAUCUGUAGCUGGUCUGAGAGGACGACCAGCCACACUGGAACUGAGACACGGUCCAGACUCCUACGGGAGGCAGCAGUGGGGAAUUUUGGACAAUGGGCGAAAGCCUGAUCCAGCAAUGCCGCGUGCAGGAUGAAGGCCUUCGGGUUGUAAACUGCUUUUGUACGGAACGAAACGGUUCUCCUUAAUACGGGGGGCUAAUGACGGUACCGUAAGAAUAAGCACCGGCUAACUACGUGCCAGCAGCCGCGGUAAUACGUAGGGUGCGAGCGUUAAUCGGAAUUACUGGGCGUAAAGCGUGCGCAGGCGGUUAUAUAAGACAGAUGUGAAAUCCCCGGGCUCAACCUGGGACCUGCAUUUGUGACUGUAUAGCUAGAGUACGGUAGAGGGGGAUGGAAUUCCGCGUGUAGCAGUGAAAUGCGUAGAUAUGCGGAGGAACACCGAUGGCGAAAGCAAUCCCCUGGACCUGUACUGACGCUCAUGCACGAAAGCGUGGGGAGCAAACAGGAUUAGAUACCCUGGUAGUCCACGCCCUAAACGAUGUCAACUGGGUUGUUGGGUCUUCACUGACUCAGUAACGAAGCUAACGCGUGAAGUUGACCGCCUGGGGAGUACGGCCGCAAGGUUGAAACUCAAGGAAUUGACGGGGACCCG